ACUGAUGUGCCUUUUCCUGAAGAGAUUAAAGCGGAGAGGAGGAAAGAGAAUAAGAAUGUGGAAGGAAGAAACGAAGUCCAUCUUCUAGGUAGGUUCUGUGUGAAGCCCGUUAGGAUGUAUAAAUGGAGAAGUCCAGCGACAAUGGAGAUGUGGGGCAGAUUGGCCUUCUGCAUUCCUGACGGACCAACACAGCUGGCCACACAUGCAAAUGGAAGUAACAAUGACCUACACGUGUGAUUGUGGAGGCGCUGAUAAGGGCCAUCCAUCUAGAGAAGUUGUUUCCUCAUUCUAUGCCCUAAACCAGUUUGAUGUCUGAAAUCCAACUAUUAGCACUUCACACUGUUAGCAUAAAGUUAAAGCCUAUUAAGCUUUUG
rnacentral:lncRNA from 1 species